AACUAGACUCGGCUAAUCAUUGCAAGCGGACUUUGAUUGAUGGUCGAAAGAGGUAGAUAUUUAGAGUCUUUAGAUUGUAUAUUACGUGGAAAAAUAAAAUGUCACCCCUACAGCCGGUCGUGCGCGUUUUUGUGGAAUUUCGUCCUUUAUUUUUUCAGGUUUUUAUUUUCUUGUUUUUUUUUUCGAUUUUUUUUGUCACUAAACUAACACACCCU